UACAGAUGAGAGCACGUGGAGUGUUUAGUGGCCAUAGAGGAACACAAAAAAAAAUUAAGUCCCACUUAUGAAGUGUUCCUCUUUUAGAUCAGAUCGUGUACACACAAGCAUUAUUUUCAUUUAAACAUUUCAUUUAAAUUAUUUUGAGUCAAUGUCUGGCAUGGAUAAAGCUUUACCUUGGAGCUGCCUUAAUAAUAUCAUCCACUCGAAGGAUCAUUUCAGCUGCCUCUGAUGCACUCAGCAGAACUUGUCUCUUCACUUGGAAGCUCUCUGUAAUACCCAAUGCUGCCAUGUCUCCAAUAGUGCCAUUUGUCAUGUCUAAAAAUAGAAAUUGCAGCAUUUUACUGAAUGUAAAAAAAAACUUAUGUCAUACCCUGUACUCAUUUUAAAUGCAUUAGUUCAAUCAAACAAAUGCUCUACUGAAUUUCUUACCCAAUCCAUAUGUUGUUUUCCCUUCGCUAUGAGCAGCUCGCAACUGAGCCACUAAAUCUGCACUGUCAUACCCAGCAUUAUCAGCUAUGAUUGUGGGAAGCUAAGGAGAAAGAAAAUAAGUUAUAUCAGUUACCGUAUAUGGUGCAUUUAACUUUUGUUUUAAACAAAUAGUGUAAAGACUAGGAAUUGACUCUCUUUCACACAAUUUGCAGGAUUUUAUGAUCAUUGUGGUACAUGGGAUAAAUAAUGUAAUGCUGUUAUUUUCAUGAUUUAUACAGUUUCUACCAAAGCAUGACCUAGCACUAUAUUCAAAGUAUAUUCAGCUUGACAGGAGUGUGCUAACAGCAAGCAGAGGCUUAAAAUAGUGUAAAAAAGCCAAAUGUUGUACCCCAACCAUACUUUACUUAUAUGCUACAUUUAUAAAACAAGUAAUCAGAUGUUUUUCAAAUCUGACAACUAGUCUCGAAUGCUAGCUAGUUUAUCAGUUGGAAAGAACUUGCAUAGUGAAAACAGCCAUAAUCUGGAACCAUUUAUUCAUCACUGAAAUUGAAAAUUUGUUCACAAUUACUAUUGUGUAGAACAGCUUCCUAUUUGGAAACUGCAAUUGGAACUUCGUGUUAAGCAAAUAAAUUAACAAAAAUAUUUAACAUCUACAUCCUAGUGCUUAUACUACACAAAUUAUGUAAGAAGGCAGAACUCCAGUUUGAAUCUCUGUACUGAAUUUCAUCUGGUAUAUAAUAUGGAUGGAAUGGAGCUAUAUAUUAGGCAAAAACCUUUUCUCUCUGACCUUUUCAUUCCUUGUGUUGUAUGACAGCAAAUAUAGGAAAAUCUUAAGUAUGGAUUUAAGAGAUCAAUCUUCCAUAAGCAAAACCCUUCAUACAACACAGAGUUCUGGAAAAUUUGUGUACAGAAGACAUCUCGUAAUUAACACACUUGGAAGUUCACAUGGCAAGCUGAGACAGCAGGAAGAAGAAAGCAAGGUGCAACCCUGUAAUGAAACUUACCAUUCCGAGUGCUUUAGCAAAUGACUCCAUUGCUACAGCUUCUUUGCCUGGUGUUCGAACAGCAAGUUCAGACACAGCUUGCGCCAUUAACAUCUCUGAACAGCCUAGGGAAAGAUUCAGAAUUAUGAAAAAUUAAUCAUUGCAUUGUGCAACAGAAGAUCUGGAACAGUAAUUGCAUUACAACAAACAAGCAAACAUCAUUCCUCCUGACAGUGUUUCUGAUUUGACACAAACUGGAGGGUCAAAUGUUAUACAAACCAACAAUGACUGUUUGACAUUAAAUUAUAAUCUCAUUCUUGAAGAAUGCCAAUGCUAAGUAGUUUUAUCUUGAUGUUACAUAUACAACCUCCUUGAUCUAGACUCUCACCUUUUUGAUGUGGCAAUUUCCGUACACUAAGAUUGUCAUCUGGGCGUGCUGCAACACCAAUUCUGCAUUCAAGUUUUCAAUUAACUCAGAAUUGAUUAAUAAUCCAAAUGUAUUGUUAAAACCAAACUAAGCAGAGAAAACUUCAAUUUAUAAAUCACUACCACCUGUCACUGCAAUGUCACAUGAAUGCAAGCAAGUCUGGCGACUUCAUAGUUAUACAUCCACCACCACGCACUUGCUGUUUACAUGCAAUCCGAAUAGUAAAUUUAAAGGCAAGGAAUAGAAGGUUUAUAAGGGAUUCGAGGCAUGUUUCUCCCACACCCAGAGCAUGGGGUAUAUCUGGAAUACUUGAAACUCCUAGAGGACAAGGUUUAACACCGGCUGAUGGAAAACAGGAUCAAAGCAGAUGAGUGCUCAAUGAUCGGCACGGACACAAUGGGCCGAAGGGCUCUUGCCGUGUUGUAAAACUGACUUUAAUUUUUAAAAUAAAAUUCCACCUUAAA